rnacentral:rRNA from 1 species
UUGGAGGGCAAGUCUGGUGCCAGCAGCCGCGGUAAUUCCAGCUCCAAUAGCGUAUAUUAAAGUUGUUGCAGUUAAAAAGCUCGUAGUUGAAUUUCGAGAUCAAAUUGUUGGUCGUGCCUCGGUACGCACUGGCAUUAUUGAUUUCUCCCUUCUGAAGAACCUUGAUGUCAUUAAUUUGGUGUCUUGGGGAAUCAGGACCGUUACUUUGAAAAAAUUAGAGUGUUUAAAGCAGGCUCACGCUUGAAUACAUUAGCAUGGAAUAAUGAAAUAGGACGUUUGAUUCUAUUUUGUUGGUUUCUAGGAUCGACGUAAUGAUUAAUAGGGAUAGUUGGGGGCAUUAGUAUUCAAUUGUCAGAGGUGAAAUUCUUGGAUUUAUUGAAGACUAACUACUGCGAAAGCAUUUGCCAAGGAUGUUUUCAUUAAUCAAGAACGAAAGUUAGGGGAUCGAAGACGAUCAGAUACCGUCGUAGUCUUAACCAUAAACUAUGCCGACUAGGGAUCGGAUGAUGUUAAUUUUUUAAUGACUCAUUCGGCGCCUUACGGGAAAC